rnacentral:rRNA from 16 species
CGGCACUAGCGCGGUGGUCCCACCUGACCCCAUGCCGAACUCAGAAGUGAAACGCCGUAGCGCCGAUGGUAGUGUGGGGUCUCCCCAUGCGAGAGUAGGGAACUGCCAGGC